GUGGUGCCGCUUUUUCAGCGUUGCUGAAGAGCGGAAAAGGGAAUACGGUGAAAAACCGUUGCAGCCCCCGCUACUGUGAGCCGGUAUCCGUCCAAUCCGGCAAGCCAAGUCUUGCCGCAGGGUUAGGCCCUGAUCCACUGGACCGCGCCGCAUGCAAAAUGCUCGCGAGCCGGGAAGGAAGGUUGAACGGGGCGCCCUAAGGUUCAAGAAAAACCUUCAGGUGUCGGCCGGCAAGCCAGGAAACCUGCCCGGAGCGGCAGUAUCCAG
rnacentral:ncRNA from 1 species